GUGAGAGGAAACUUAUCAUACUGCUCACAGUAAUAAGUGGCAAAAUCUUCAGGUUGAAGGCUGCUGAUGGUGAGAGAAUAAUCUGUCCCAGAUCCACUGCCA